UGCCCUUAGGGCGAUGGAGUCCGCCUUAACCGCCCGCUUCGGGCUGAUGACUCCUACCGGGUU
rnacentral:ncRNA from 20 species